rnacentral:rRNA from 1 species
UACGGGGGGGGCAAGCGUUGUUCGGAAUUACUGGGCGUAAAGGGCGCGUAGGCGGCCUUCUAAGUCAGACGUGAAAUCCCUCGGCUCAACCGAGGAACUGCGUCUGAUACUGGAAGGCUUGAAUCCGGGAGAGGGAUGUGGAAUUCCAGGCGUAGCGGUGAAAUGCGUAGAUAUCUGGAGGAACACCGGUGGCGAAGGCGGCAUCCUGGACCGGUAUUGACGCUGAGGCGCGAAAGCUAGGGGAGCAAACGGG